GUCUACAGCCAUACCACCCUGAACCCGCCCAAUCUCGUCUGAUCUUGGAAGCUAAGCAUGGUCGGGCCUGGUUAGUACUUGGAUGGGAGAACGAACUGGCUCCCUUGUCA
rnacentral:rRNA from 1 species